GGGGAUAAAUAAUUUUUAUGUAUGAUCCAUAGAAUAUAUGAAAGAUUAGAUUUAAGUACUAAUUAAUUUUAGAUUAGAUCUGAAUUAAUUAAACUUAAAUAGAUCCAAAAUCUAAGUUAGAUUUGGUACAAAAUUUCUAAAGAGUUUAGGAUUGACAGUCUUUCGAAAUUGUUUCAAACCGACUUCGAAUCGGAUUUGAAUCGGAUCUAUUUUGGAUGAGAUAUGAGUAUUCCUACUUGCAUUGGGAAUACCCACUCAUGAAGCACAAUCAAAAAUUAAUUUGAUGCUUAUUUGGGACAUCCCACG
rnacentral:lncRNA from 1 species